rnacentral:rRNA from 1 species
UACAGAGGUCUCAAGCGUUGUUCGGAUUCAUUGGGCGUAAAGGGUGCGUAUGCGGCGCGGUAAGUCGGGUGUGAAAUCUUGGAGCUUAACUCCGAAACUGCAUUCGAUACUGCCGUGCUUGAGGACUGGAGAGGAGACUGGAAUUUACGGUGUAGCGGUGAAAUGCGUAGAUAUCGUAAGGAAGACCAGUGGCGAAGGCGGGUCGCUGGGCCGAUAUUGACGCUGAGGAGCGAAAGCGUGGGGAGCGAACAGG